rnacentral:tRNA from 1 species
UGGUAAUUAGUUUAUAAAAACAUUUAACUUCGACUUAAAAAAUUGCAAUAAUCUGCAAUUACCCU